rnacentral:lncRNA from 1 species
CAAGAGUCCCCUCCUUUGUAAAGUGAGCCAGAGUAUGACUAAUCCCACACACCCAGGUCCAUCCGGGCGAGACAAAGCCAGGGACCGUGCGCCUCUUCCCAGGCCACAGGAAACCUGGACAGCAGCCUCUGCCAACCUUUGAAGUGUCUGUUUCCUCAGCCCUUCAGGCUCCGGGGAGAGGCUCCACCUUCCACCUCUGACCCAACAGGAAGCAGGAAGAUUUUCUGCUUGUCCAGCAAUAGCCCAGUCAGUGAGCAUCUGCCACAGCCACAACCCAGCCAAUGAGAAGCCAUCACCACCCUGAACUCUCACUUUCCUCCAAUGGACUUUUCUUCCAAGCAACCCCUCCCAGCUUCUUCCUUUUUUCCUAGAAGGUAAUGUUCCUCUCUUUUUUCCUCUGGACUUGCCUACAGGUUGUCAUAGGUGUCUCUGACUGCAGUUUCUCUGCUAUUCCAGAAUAAACCAAUUUUGUGGCGAAACACCAUGUUAUUUUAUUUUCAAGGUCCAUAAUUACAAGAAGUUAGGAUUUCUUUACAGGAGAUAUGAUUGAAGAGAUCCUGACACCAUUGCAAAGCAUCUUAGAAACCUCCUCAAUGGCUAACAAUUCUGUGACUUUUGGUUGGGGGAAGGGGAGGGAGGAAGACAGGUUAUAGUCCCUUCUCAGAAAUCCCUAUGUGACAUAAUGGGAAAUAUAUAUUUGGUCUUUGUCUCUGGUUCCUGACACAGAGCUUCUAAUACUCUUGGCAUUUCCUCAGUGAUAAGAGUGUCUUUUGUUAUAAAUAACAAGCCCCUUUCAACCUUACCUGAGUUUAUGCUAAAGCGGUGACUCUUAGUGGGCCCCUGGGUAGCCUCAGGAUGGAUGCUGGUUGCCUGAGGAAUCAGCCCUGUGAUUAGAAGGUUGGAGCUUUCAGCCCUACUCUCAGACCUCCAGUAGGUGAGAGAGGCUGGAGACUGAGUCCAAU